rnacentral:rRNA from 1 species
GGGGAAUAUUGCACAAUGGGCGAAAGCCUGAUGCAGCAACGCCGCGUGAGUGAUGACGGUCUUCGGAUUGUAAAGCUCUGUCUUUGGGGACGAUAAUGACGGUACCCAAGGAGGAAGCCACGGCUAACUACGUGCCAGCAGCCGCGGUAAUACGUAGGUGGCAAGCGUUGUCCGGAUUUACUGGGCGUAAAGGGUGCGUAGGCGGACCUUUAAGUGAGAUGUGAAAUCCCCGAGCUUAACUUGGGGGCUGCAUUUCAAACUGGAGGUCUAGAGUGCAGGAGAGGAGAGUGGAAUUCCUAGUGCAGCGGUGAAAUGCGUAGAGAUUAGGAAGAACACCAGUGGCGAAGGCGACUCUCUGGACUGUAACUGACGCUGAGGCACGAAAGCGUGGGGAGCAACCAG